rnacentral:rRNA from 1 species
AGCAGCCGCGGUAAUUCCAGCUCCAAUAGCGUAUAUUAAAGUUGUUGCAGUUAAAAAGCUCGUAGUUGAAUUUCGGGAUUGACGUGAUGGUCGUGCCUUACGGGGUAUGAACUGUUGCUGUUGAUUUCUCACCUUCUGGAGAAACUUGAUGUCCUUAAUUGGGUGUCUUGCGGAUCCAGGACCUUUACCUUGAAAAAAUUGAGUGUUUAAAGCAGGCAUUUUGCUCGAAUACAUUAGCAUGGAAUAAUAGAAUAGGACGGCAUGGUUCUAUUUUGUUGGUUUCUAGGAUCACCGUAAUGAUUAAUAGGGAUAGUUGGGGGCAUUAGUAUCCAAUUGUCAGAGGUGAAAUUCUUGGAUUUAUUGAAGACUAACUACUGCGAAAGCAUUUGCCAAGGAUGUUUCAUUAAUCAAGAACGAAAGUUAGGGAUCGAAGACGAUCAGAUACCGUCG